rnacentral:rRNA from 1 species
GAUGAACGCUGGCGGCGUGCCUAAUACAUGCAAGUCGAGCGAACGGACGAGAAGCUUGCUUCUCUGAUGUUAGCGGCGGACGGGUGAGUAACACGUGGAUAACCUACCUAUAAGACUGGGAUAACUUCGGGAAACCGGAGCUAAUACCGGAUAAUAUUUUGAACCGCAUGGUUCAAAAGUGAAAGACGGUCUUGCUGUCACUUAUAGAUGGAUCCGCGCUGCAUUAGCUAGUUGGUAAGGUAACGGCUUACCAAGGCAACGAUGCAUAGCCGACCUGAGAGGUGGAUCGGCCACAGUGGAACGGGGACAGGGCCCAACCCCCUAGGGGGGGCAGCAGUAGGGAAUCUUCCGAAAGGGGCGAAAGCCUGACGGAGCAACGCCGCGUGGGUGAUGAAGGUCUUCGGAUUGUAAAACUCUGUUUUUAGGGAAGAAAAUAUGUGUAAGUAACGGUGCACAUUUUGACGGUACCAAAUAAGAAAGCCCCGGCUAACUACGU